rnacentral:rRNA from 1 species
CGUGCCUAAUACAUGCAAGUCGAGCGCGGGAAGCAAACUGAAUCCCUUCGGGGAUGACGAUUGUGGAACGAGCGGCGGAUGGGUGAGUAACACAUGGGCAACCUGCCUGUAAGAUUGGGAUAACUCGCGGAAAACGUGAAGCUAAAUACCAAAUAAUCCUUUACAUUUCCUGAUGUUUAGGUAAAAGGCGGCAUUUUGCUGUCACUUACAGAUGGGCCCGUGGCGCAUUAGCUAGUUGGUGGGAUAAAAGCCUACCAAGGCAACAAUGCGUAGCCGACCUGAGAGGGUGAUCGGCCACACUGGGACUGAGACACGGCCCAGACUCCUACGGGAGGCAGCAGUAGGGAAUCUUCCGCAAUGGACGCAAGUCUGACGGAGCAAAACCGCCGCGUGAGUGACGAAGGUCUUCGGAUCGUAAAACUCUGUUGUUAGGGAAGAAUAAGUAUCGUUCGAAUAGGGCGGUACCUUGACGGUACCUAACCAGAAAGCCCCGGCUAACUACGUGCCAGCAGCCGC